ACAAGCCAGAUAAGGGCGUAUGGGGAAUGCCUAGGCUCUCAGAGGCGAUGAAGGACGUGAUAAGCUGCGAAAAGCCGCGGGGAUCGGCACACACGAAUUGAUCCGCGGGUAUCCGAAUGGGGCAACCCGGCAUAUUGAAGAUAUGCCAUCCCGCAAGGGGGGCAAACCCGGUGAACUGAAACAUCUAAGUAGCCGGAGGAGGAGAAAACAAAAGUGAUUCCGAUAGUAGCGGCGAGCGAAAUCGGAUUGGCCCAAACCAAUGUUGUCUCGGCAAUAUUGGGGUUGUAGGACCACGAUGUUGGACGUGCGAUGAACUGGAAUACCUUGGAAAGGGUAACCGUAGAGGGUGACAGUCCCGUAUAGGUAAAGAACAUUGUCCAUAGUGGUAUCCUGAGUAGUGCGGGGCACGUGAAACCCUGUAUGAAUCCGGCGGGACCAUCCGCCAAGGCUAAAUACUCCUGAGAGACCGAUAGAGAACCAGUACCGUGAGGGAAAGGUGAAAAGAAAGCGGUCGGAGCAGUGCUUGCACUGUGACGGCGUGCCUUUUGCAUAAUGAGCCUACGAGUUACUUUUACUGGCAAGGUUAAGUCCUUCAGGGACGGAGCCGUAGCGAAAGCGAGUCUUAAUAGGGCGCCACAGUCAGUAGUAGUAGACGCGAAACCGUGCGAUCUACCCAUGGGCAGGUUGAAGCUGUGGUAACACACAGUGGAGGACCGAACCCGUUGACGUUGAAAAGUCUUGGGAUGACCUGUGGGUAGGGGUGAAAGGCCAAUCAAGCUCGGAAAUAGCUCGUACUCCCCGAAAUGCAUUUAGGUGCAGCGUGUAGAUAGUUUCAUAGAGGUAGAGCUACUGAUUGGAUGCGGGGGCUUCACCGCCUACCAAUUCCUGACAAACUCCGAAUGCUAUGAAAUGUUUCUGCGCAGUGAGGGCAUGGGUGCUAAGGUCCAUGUCCGAAAGGGAAAGAACCCGGACCAUCGGCUAAGGUCCCAAAGUGUGUGCUAAGUUGACAAAACGCGGUGGAACUGCAUUGACAGCCAGGAUGUUGGCUUGGAAGCAGCCAUUCAUUUAAAGAGUGCGUAACAGCUCACUGGUCGAGCGGUUCCGCAUGGAUAAUGAUCGGGCAUAAGCACACCACCGAAGCCAUGGCUUCCAUCGUAAGAUGGAGGGGUAGGGGAGCAUUGUAGUGCCGCUGAAGGCGUACCUGCGAGGGAUGCUGGAGGAGCUACAAACGAAAAUGUAGGCAUAAGUAACGAUAAUGUGGGCGAGAAACCCACACGCCGAAAGACCAAGGUUUCCCCAGCUAUGCUAAUCAGCUGGGGGUCAGUCGGGACCUAACGCAGACCCGAAGGGGGAAGUGGAUGGGCAACAGGUCAAUAUUCCUGUACCCGCUCGCAUUGAAAGCGACGGAGGCGAGGAGUUGGUGCGUGCAGACGGAAUUGCACGUUGAAGCGAGUGGCAACACCGCGAUAGUACACCGAGGCUACGGCCGAGGUGAUAAUCCAGCGUAUCGACUUCCAAGAAAAGCAAGCGAAGCGGCCCGUACCCUAAACCGACACAGGUGGUUGGGAUGAGAAUUCUAAGGCGCUCGAGAGAUUCAUGGCUAAGGAACUAGGCAAAAUAGACCCGUAACUUCGGGAGAAGGGUCGCCCUGACGGUAAUACGUCAGGGCCGCAGUGAAGAGGUCCAGGCGACUGUUUAUCAAAAACACAGGGCUCUGCUAAAUCGAGAGAUGAAGUAUAGGGCCUGACACCUGCCCGGUGCUGGAAGGUUAAGAGGAGAUGUCAUCUUCGGAGAAGCAUUGAAUUGAAGCCCCAGUAAACGGCGGCCGUAACUAUAACGGUCCUAAGGUAGCGAAAUUCCUUGUCGGGUAAGUUCCGACCUGGAAGAUGCCGGUUACCCGCAGUGGGACGAAAAGACCCCGUGCACCUUUACUAUAGCUUCGUAUUGACCUUGGUCAAGCAAUGUGUAGGAUAGCUGGGAGACUUUGAGGCCGCAUCGCCAGGUGUGGUGGAGUCGUUGUUGAAAUACCAGCCUUUGCUUGUCCGGGGCCUAACCCUCCAAGAGGGGACAGUGCGUGGUGGGUAGUUUGACUGGGGUGGUCGCCUCCAAAAGAGUAACGGAGGCUUCUAAAGGUGCCCUCAAUACGGUUGGCAAUCGUGUGUAGAGUGCAAUGGCACAAGGGCGCUUGACUGUGAGACAUACAGGUCGAACAGGUUGGAAACAAGAGCAUAGUGAUCCGGUGGUUCCGUAUGGAAGGGCCAUCGCUCAAAGGAUAAAAGGUACGCCGGGGAUAACAGGCUGAUCUCCCCCAAGAGCUCAUAU
rnacentral:rRNA from 1 species